rnacentral:rRNA from 1 species
GACGUAGGGCGCGAGCGUUGUCCGGAUUUAUUGGGCGUAAAGGGCGCGUAGGCGGUCAGCACAAGUCAGUUGUGAAAUCUCCGGGCUUAACUCGGAAAGGUCAACUGAUACUGUGCGACUAGAGUGCGGAAGGGGCAACUGGAAUUCUCGGUGUAGCGGUGAAAUGCGUAGAUAUCGAGAGGAACACCUGCGGCGAAGGCGGGUUGCUGGGCCGACACUGACGCUGAUGCGCGAAAGCCAGGGGAGCGAACGGG